AGGAAUGUGAUUGUGUAAACUUAAAUAAGAAUCUCAAUGAUUUGGAGAUCAAAUUCUUAUAGACUUUGUAUUACUGUAAGACAAGAAACCCUAUCAUGAUUAGUAUAAAUAAAAGUAUAAUGUCAUGUGGUGAAACAUAUUUGUCACAAACACCUUAGCCCUUCAUCUUUCUCUGUCAUCCCUCUCUCUCACCCACUCUUAAAAUGUAAUUUACAACACAUUAUCAGCACAAACAUGACUCUGCAAGAAGGAGAGGAUCCUUGAAGAAGUCAUGCGAAAAGCUUUUUUCAUCUUCGUCAACAUCUAGAAGCCGUGGCUGGAAGCUGGGCCUACGUCUUAGCUGCCGGACUGAUUCACCAAACCCCUGCCUUAGACUGGACAACCCGUCGUUCUUGACGUUGCCCCAUCUCCUCGACAGAAGUCGAGAAACCCUAGGGCCGCAAAAGACUAGUCACCACGACGCCUAAAGCCGUCCUCCUGAGGUGGUGAUUGUCUCUGAAGAUCGAGGCUCGAGAGAUUCUGGGAGAAUCUUAGUAGAUUGAAGGUCGUUUCACCUCGCUGCCAUCCUUGUAACGACGUCGGCAUCGAUACUCGGACUCCGCCACCAUAUUUAUAGGUGGAAGACUAUGCCUCGUAACCCAUGCCAACGUUAAGAUUCCUCCGUCGUGCCCUAUUAGGUUACCACUAAGAAUCCACGACUUUUCUCCUCUAGAACCACAUCCCUCGAUGAUUUCGAGGUUGAUGGUGAGGUCUAGAAUGUUUGACUCGACCCAUAACCUCCAGAGGAUGCCUGAAAGCGGCAGACUUGUUUAUUUUGGCGAGGGAGACACCACCAGUGAUUCGGAUGGUGUGUGUUGAACAGUAUUGACUCUACUUCGGCUGAAGUCCGUUGAAGAAGACGCCCAACUUAGCUAAGACCUACUGAAGAACACGCCCAACUUCAGCUAGGACACAUCGAAGAACGCACCUAGCUUCAGCUGGGUGUACCAAAUCUACUCACCCAUCUUUGGCUGGAGAGUGCCCAUCCAUGUAGAGACUUGAGGUUCUCCAUGUCUUAAAUCCAUUAAAUCAUACUAUGUCCCUAGAACAUGAGGGGAAAACUUUUGAA